CUUAUACUCCGAAAAAUACAGUAGAUCAGUUACUCAUGUAGAUAUGCACUCCUUAAAGCUGCCCCAUUUUUUAAAAAAUCCAAAAGCCUUGUUUGAGGAAGAGACGGAAGCCCUUUAACCAUUUUCUUUUUUCUUUCAGUUGUUGAACGUAUGGGGGCCUGUGCAUCCAUGUACAGUCGUUCUAUCCAGGGCCAUCAUGUCUGCCUACUCGUGAAAAAGGGAGAAAACUCUGUGUCCAUUGACGGAAAAUGCGAUGAUUCAACCUUAUUGGGAAAUCUUUUAUCAGAAUUCAAAGAAAACCUGUCAAAAUGCUGAGUGCUCUCAGAAUUGGGCACAGCCCCUCGUCCUUCUGGCCCUCCAGACGAACAGCAUCCCGAGGCUCACGGGACUGAAACCAGUGGAGCAUUCGAUUACUCUCGCUCUGUGCGCAUGUUUGAUCUCCCAGGGCAUGUGUGUUUUCCAUUUCCUCCUCCCUCCUGGGUUGUUGUGUUCGUUCUAUUUUUGUUUCAAUUUUGUUACGGUUUACACAUCUCAGAACUGUGCUCUCCUCUGUUUGGAAUGGUCCGACCAUAGCAAAGAGAUUCCCCGACUGGAUUGACAUCCUGGCAAGGGAGAAAACGGGGUAGAGGAGAUGCAGAAUCCAUAUUGGAAACCCAACCGCAUCCCUGGGUGUGCUUGUGCCUCUCCUGGUGUGAGAGCUGGUCAAUUCCAUUUAUCCUUUUAAACUGCCCGUGCUUAAAAGGAGAAAAAGGUGCCCCUUCCCUGCAACCAAUUGGGAUGCAUCUUCCCUCUUUCCCUACAGCUGUUCCGGAGCAUUUCCUGCUGCCCCAGGCUGGGAUUGGUUGAUCCUCUCUCAUCAGGGUGGGGCUCCCACAGGAAUGUUUAAAGUCCAAUGCAAUAUCUCAUUCCUGGAAUUAACGAAAAGUAGCCUAAUUAGAAGUCCAAAGUCAUUGUGUCUGUGUGGAUUUGAGGGUUUUGUGAUUAUUAUUAUUUUCUUUCUUCUACGUUAGGUUGAACAAUCCUACAGUGGGGCCAAUCUGCCAUGCCCAGCUUUUACAAAGCCUACACUUAAGCAGAUGGCCACAAUCUAGUGACAGUUUGUUUUUGAAAGUGUCCUCACUCCCAUAGUUGCAGCCAGUGAUUUCUUUUUCUUUCUUACUUUUUUUUCUUUUGGCAAACUUUUCUUUUUCUCCUCUGCAAGAUUGGAUGAUAUUAGUGAUGAUCAGUUACAAAUAGGGUGGAGUACCUUGAUGGUUGUUAAACGUUAAUGAGAAAUUGCACAAUGGCAGCCCCUAACUGGAUUUUUUUUAAAUUCUCUCACAAUGAAGCUUCACUAUUGGAUACUCCAAACACUGAUAUUUAGAAUCCUGAACCUGGGGAGGUGGGGGCCGAGGGAGGGGGGACAGGAUGGAACCAACAGAACCCUUUGGUCUCUGGCUUGCAUUAUGUCCUCUAUGUUUCAAGACAUUUGGUGCCUCAAUAUUCUUCUGUGUGGUCAGGGGUCUUUCUUUUUUUUUAAUAUCAGUACAGUAAUUAUGUCUGUUGGGAGCUGAGCUGCAGGAUUUACUGAGAAUAAUUUAGCAUUCUCCCAAUAUUGCAGCAGAGGCUGGUGAAGCAGUUAUGGUAGGGGCGUCCAAACUUGGGAACUUUAAGACUUGUGGACUUCAACUCCCAGAAUUCUCCAACCAGCUGGCUGUGGAAUUCUGUGAGUUGAAGUCCACAAGUCUUAAAAGUUCCCAAGUUUGGACACCCCUGGGUUAUGGCAAGGAGCAAGGCAGGGAGUGUUAUUUGUUGACUUUUUGUGGAUUAGUGCAGAUUUUGUUGGGGGUUUGGAAAUCUGCGCAUAUUCAGAAAUGUCUUAAAAGGGCAAAUGCUCCUUGAAGUUAGUGGAUUUUAAAUAUAUAUAUCUAUACAUAUAUAUAUAUAUAUUCCUGGAUGAAAACUUGUCACUUUAGCAUGUAGAGUCUGUUCUCUUACAGUGAUUCUAAAAAUCUUCUGAAAAUUCUGUACAAUAUGUUAUGUUUAAAAGAAAAAAGUUAUUUACUAUCAACAUUCCCCCACAAAACACAUACCACAAAGCUGCUGUAAGAAUUUUUUUGUGUCAAGAUGAUCGAAUAAAAUUUCAAAACUUACAGAAUUUAAAAA